AACGAACGCUGGCGGCAGGCUUAACACAUGCAAGUCGAACGAGAAGCUACCUUCGGGUAGUGGAAAGUGGCAGACGGGUGAGUAACGCGUGGGAAUAUGCCUAGAGGUACGGAACAACUCCGGGAAACUGGUGCUAAUACCGUAUACGCCCUUCGGGGGAAAGAUUUAUCGCCUUUAGAUUAGCCCGCGUUAGAUUAGCUUGUUGGUGAGGUAAUGGCUCACCAAGGCGACGAUCUAGAGCUGGUCUGAGAGGAUGAUCAGCCACACUGGGACUGAGACACGGCCCAGACUCCUACGGGAGGCAGCAGUGGGGAAUCUUGGACAAUGGGCGCAAGCCUGAUCCAGCCAUGCCGCGUGUGUGAUGAAGGCCCUAGGGUUGUAAAACACUUUCAGUGGGAAGAUAAUGACGGUACCCACAGAAGAAGCCCCGGCUAACUCCGUGCCAGCAGCCGCGGUAA
rnacentral:rRNA from 1 species